rnacentral:lncRNA from 1 species
UUCGGGCCACUUUUAUAUUUUCGUUAACUGGACUAUAGAAAGAUGAUUUUUUAAAGUUACAAAAGAAAAAAAAGGGAGAAAUUUAAAAAUAGCCGGAUUUACAAGUGGUCUGUCACGACCCAAACCGAUGGGCCACGACGGGCACCCGGUACCUUACUCAACCGAGUACCAAUUUAACGUAUAUUUCUUAUUACAUCAUCAUACACACGUGACAUACAUGCCUAAUAUGUCAACAUGAUCAUUUAUAAACUCAAAACAUAAGCCGACAAGGCCGUACAAUCUUUCACGUACACGGCAUAUGUGUACAAGCCUCUAAGAGUACAUAAAUGUCAUAAAGGUCAGGACAGGGCCCUGCUAUACUAAUCAGUACAUGUCCUAAUCAUACUGACCACAUAAGCAACUCCAGAGCAAAUGGAGCGCUCCAACACCUUCCGCUGAGCUGAUAGCCUACUUGGAGGACUCUCGACCUGUCUAUCAGGACUGCGGGCAUGAAGCACAGCGUCCCCAAGCAAAAGGGACGUCAAUACGAAUAAUGUACCGAGUAUAUAACACUCAUAAAUAAGUACAUAACAUACAUGGAAGAAAUAUAAAGUAACGGACUCAACUUGUAAGUAUGGCUAGCUCUGUAAAUCAUGAAAUAAUUAUAGUGUCAUGCAUAUGCGUAUGAAUGUCAUGUCGUGCAUAGGUACAUGUUUCGUAACAUCAUCAGGCUUCUAAGGACAUCCCAUCAUAUCAUCUCGGCCACUGUGGGCAAAAUCAUCAACGUAUACCAGCUGAUCAGGUGGUGGUGCAUAUAUAACGCCAUAACUUUUUUCCAUAUCCCAUAAAAAUAUAAUAUACAUAUAUAUGCGUAUAUAACGCCGUUUGGUCAUGGGUCAAUGUGCAUAUGUAAAUGCAUGAAAUGCACGUGAAAAUAAGUUAAUAAAAUAUCUCGGUACGUCAUAAGAUCAUUAUGUCUCUGAUUAAUAUCAUGAAAUAAACUUUGCCAACUUACGUAUUUUUGAAACCCAUAAACAGAUGAUAGAAUAAUAUGACACAUGAGAGAACAUGAAUAUACACAUCUCUAAUAUUUCUACGAAUAGAGUAAUUUAUGAAAGUUGUGCAUUUGCUCGUUUCGUUCGUAUAGAUCAUGCUAAAAAGAAAAAAAGAAUAGCCUUUACAUACCUGGAGUAGAAAAAUACGUAUGAUAUUUUAGAAAAAAUUGCAUCGUACUCCUUUAGAAUUGCAAAAUUAUACGUUGUUACUGUGCCACGAAAUCUUGUUGGUUGAAGGAAUCAAUUGUAGCGUUUAGAAAAUGAAGAAAUCUUUCUUCAUGUCUGGUUGUAGAAAGUUUGGUUGAAAGACGUUAUGUAAAAUGGCUAACUUUGGUUGAAAGAAGAAUUAUCAUUCUGAUGGUUUUUGGU